rnacentral:rRNA from 1 species
UAGGGAAUCUUCCGCAAUGGGCGAAAGCCUGACGGAGCAACGCCGCGUGAGUGAUGAAGGUCUUCGGAUCGUAAAACUCUGUUAUUAGGGAAGAACAAAUGUGUAAGUAACUAUGCACGUCUUGACGGUACCUAAUCAGAAAGCCACGGCUAACUACGUGCCAGCAGCCGCGGUAAUACGUAGGUGGCAAGCGUUAUCCGGAGUUAUUGGGCGUAAAGCGCGCGUAGGCGGUUUUUUAAGUCUGAUGUGAAAGCCCACGGCUCAACCGUAGAGGGUCAUUGGAAACUGGAAAACUUGAGUGCAGAAGAGGAAAGUAGAAUUCCAUGUGUAGCGGUGAAAUUCGCAGAGAUAUGGAGGAACACCAGUGGCGAAGGCGACUUUCUGGUCUGUAACUGACGCUGAUGUGCGAAAGCGUGGGGAUCAAACAGG